rnacentral:misc_RNA from 1 species
UCUCCGUUGGUGAACCAGCGGAGGGAUCAUUGCUGGAAGCGUCUCACGGCGCACCCAGAUACCCUUUGUGAACCAUACCUCUCUGUUGCCUCGGCGCAGGCUGGGAGCUUCUGUAAACUCCCCCACGCGGACUCGCCUCCGCGCGGAGCAGGCCCGCCGGCGGCCCUUCUAAACUCUUGUUUUUAUUACGUAUCUCUUCUGAGUUAUUCAAAACAAAAUGAAUCAAAACUUUCAACAACGGAUCUCUUGGUUCUGGCAUCGAUGAAGAACGCAGC